rfam:Gossypium raimondii Chr01_contig_229, whole genome shotgun sequence.
CUUGAGGAAGCACUUUGUCCACGUGGACACAAAGCGCUCCCUCAAGGAAGCGUUUUCUGUCCAUGUGGACAAAGCGCGUCCUUGAGG